rnacentral:rRNA from 1 species
AGAGUUUGAUCCUGGCUCAGGAUGAACGCUAGCGGCAGGCUUAAUACAUGCAAGUCGUGGGGCAGCACAGGUAGCAAUACUGGGUGGCGACCGGCAAACGGGUGCGGAACACGUACGCAACCUUCCUUCAAGUGGGGGAUAGCCCAGGGAAACUUGGAUUAAUACCCCGUAAUAUUAUGAGGUGGCAUCAUCUUAUAAUUAAAGCUACGGCGCUUGGAGAUGGGCGUGCGGCUGAUUAGGUAGUUGGCGGAGUAAUAGCCCACCAAGCCUUCGAUCAGUAACUGGUGUGAGAGCACGACCAGCCACACGGGCACUGAGACACGGGCCCGACUCCUACGGGAGGCAGCAGUAAGGAAUAUUGGUCAAUGGACGCAAGUCUGAACCAGCCAUGCCGCGUGGAGGAUGAAGGCCCUCUGGGUUGUAAACUUCUUUUAUCUGGGAAGAAACCCAUCUUUUCUAAGGUGGUUGACGGUACCAGUUGAAUAAGCACCGGCUAACUCCGUGCCAGCAGCCGCGGUAAUACGGAGGGUGCAAGCGUUAUCCGGAUUCACUGGGUUUAAAGGGUGCGUAGGUGGGCAGGUAAGUCAGUGGUGAAAUCUCCGGGCUUAACCCGGAAACUGCCGUUGAUACUAUCUGUCUUGAAUAUCGUGGAGGUGAGCGGAAUAUGUCAUGUAGCGGUGAAAUGCUUAGAUAUGACAUAGAACAUCAAUUGCGAAGGCAGCUCGCUACACGGUUAUUGACACUGAGGCACGAAAGCGUGGGGAUCAAACAGGAUUAGAUACCCUGGUAGUCCACGCCCUAAACGAUGAUUACUCGACAUGUGCGAUACACUGUACGUGUCUGAGCGAAAGCAUUAAGUAAUCCACCUGGGAAGUACGACCGCAAGGUUGAACUCAAGGAAUUGACGGGGUCCGCACAAGCGGUGGAGCAUGUGGUUUAAUUCGAUGAUACGCGAGGAACCUUACCUGGGCUAGAAUGCUGGUGGACCGAGGGUGAAAGCCCC